UACAGAGGUCUCAAGCGUUGUUCGGAAUCACUGGGCGUAAAGGGUGUGUAGGCGGCGUGAAAAGUCAGAUGUGAAAUCUGGGGCUCAACCUUCAAAUAGCAUCCGAUACUGUCAUGCUCGAGGUCUGUAGAGGAGUCUGGAAUUCUCGGUGUAGCAGUGAAAUGCGUAGAUAUCGAGAGGAACACUUGUUGCGAAAGCGAGACUCUGGGCAGAAACUGACGCUGAAACACGAAGGCCAGGGUAGCGAACGGG
rnacentral:rRNA from 1 species